GCUUUAGAAAGAUGACCGAGUUCCGAGUUGGAAUUCCAAGUUGGAUGACCGUUCAAAACGACUUUUUUUCCCCAUCGAAGCUCGUUUUUCCCCUUGGUCCCAGUUGUUUUGAACGCACAGAAUUCGGAGAUUACCGAGUACCCAGUUCCGAGUUGUUUUGAACGCGGCAUUUGUAAAGUUGAUAUAUUUAUGGUACUUUGGUUUGUUCGGUCUGACAGCGGAUUUGCACCGUUUGCUCAAUGUGUAGCUCAAGCGCACCUAGCAAAUGCAAUGGGUGUAGACGGAGAAGAAAAUAGAGACCCAACUCAGCGGAAAAUAUUUUCCCUCCAGCAGAUGUGACCCUGUGCUAACAAGGCUCCUGAGCCAAUAUCCUCCAUUCCAGCUGGUCAGGACAGCCUUAAACAGCCCAUGGAGCAGCUCAGCCUGGACAGAGCUACAAACAGAUAAUAAAGACAGUCUGUGAUUGGGCAUUCUCUCUUCAUCGUCCAAAAGCUGUUUAGUUUGGUCUGAAGAUUUCCUCAGUCUCUGUCUGGGGAACAGGAUCCAUUUCAUAAAGGGAUCAGAGGCACCAUCUUGGCCUGACUUCAUUGAGAUGUGCUUCUCUGUUUAAAUGGACUGUGUGGUUUGUUUUCUCUCCCACACAGAGAUGUCUUAAUCACGCUUGCUGUGCUGUGUGAGGGCCUUGUUGGAGAUGUUGGCCCUCAGGCACCCUGGUUAGGCUCUGUUGUACUGCUUGAUAUGGAUGGCGUUUUCUGGCCUCCUCAGGCCAGAGUUCAAACUAGCCCACAAACUAGCCCACCUCCUGCUGAACAACUCGGAGGUGUAGCAUCUCACGCUGAUCAAGUGCAACUCUGUAGGAAGCAAGCCAGCCUUUUUGGGCUCUUUCACAGUACAACAUCUGCAGAGGCUGACUGUGUCUUACCCCUUGUGUUGGUCUGGCCAGACACAUGACAUCAUACUGGGGAGGGAAAUGGGUGCACCUUACUAUGAAGAGACCAGGCUAGGAAUCAUCCACAGCUCAGUGCUGAUGGGAGAAUCCAAUGUUGAAGGCCUAUACAUUUCAAACCAAUAUAGACAGCAACGGAAUCCUCCCUUUUUCAUAUCUCCUGUCUGAAGUCAAGCUACCAGAGACUUCCUGUAUAUUUGUAAUUUUUUAUAUACUGUACUAAUGCAGAUUAUUUUUUUCUAUGCUAUCAUUGCCAAUGUACCACUACCUAUGUCUGUGACUACAAUCUUCAUAAUCACUGUUGACCAAACAGAAUGUUUAUCCUUGUGGUCAUUUCAAUAUAAUAAGGUCAGGAUUCAAUCAUUGCAGAUGGUAUAUUUUCGUACUUCACUUUUAGGGGUGGGUUAGAUUUACAUAAUAGCAUGUCUCAAAUUGUGCCAUUACUUUUUUAGAUAUAUGUUUUAGAUAUUUUCACUUCAUUUAGACAGUAAGGAAAUCAGAGGGGGAGACCGGCAGGUGGGAGGAACAGUGGACACGGGGAUUGAACCCUGGUCCCCAGCGGGGAGUCUUACAUGCGACUUGUUCCGGGGAAUGUUUCCACUACAACAUGGCUCUGCACAGAGAGUGCCAUUUCUUGAAAAGAAAGUACAUGUUAUGUCAUUCUUUCUCUAAACAACAACAGACUUUAAGGGUACAGAUGGGAGGACUGAGUUGUCCAACACUGGCUCACUGCAAUAAAUGGCUCCUGCCUUCCACUGGUGCCAAAAGUCUUGUUCCCCUCAUGGGAGGGAACAUGCAUGCAACCUGCUCCUGUCUCUUUCUGCAUGACACUUCAUAAUUAAAUGCUCUGCAAAUUA